CCUACGGGUGGCAGCAGUGGGGAAUAUUGCGCAAUGGGCGAAAGCCUGACGCAGCGACGCCGCGUGAGGGAUGAAGGUCUUCGGAUUGUAAACCUCUGUCAGCAGGGAAGAACGGUCACUGUGUUAAUCAGCAGUGAAUUGACGGUAACUGCAAAGGAAGCACCGGCUAACUCCGUGCCAGCAGCCGCGGGAACACGGAGGGUGCGAGCGUUAAUCGGAAUUACUGGGCGUAAAGGGCUCGUAGGCGGUAUGUCAAGUCAAGGGUGAAAUCCCCGCGCUCAACGUGGGAACUGCCUUUGAAACUGGCAAACUGGAGUGUAGGAGAGGAAAGUGGAAUUCCUGGUGUAGGGGUGAAAUGCGUAGAUAUCUGGAGGAACAUCAGUGGCGAAGGCGACUAUCUGGCACGUAACUGACGCUGAGGAGCGAAAGCGUGGGUAGCAAACAGGAUUAGAUACCCUAGUAGUC
rnacentral:rRNA from 1 species